GUUAAGUUGAAGUUGCACCACCGGGGAGCGGCUGAAGUGGGGAUCUGAAAUAGGUAGUGGAGAAAGAAAAGAUUGAGGGAAGGGCACCGGUCUUUUCCUAAUCCUCAUGGGUGCAAGAAAAGAUUUCUCUUACUGAACAAGGUUUGAUCUGAGAAGGAAAGAAAGAGGGUAGCUAAGAGCAGAAGAAGAGCCCGGAAGUGAUGUUUGAAGGUCAGAUUUCAUCAGAAGGACAGAAA
rnacentral:misc_RNA from 1 species